GUAUAUAAACCCACAUACAGAGCCAUUCUCUACAGCACUCUUGAAAUUCCAAGCCACGUUCUAUGUAUUUCAGAAUGUUAAAUUCUCAUUCUAUUUGCUUGCUGCUUCUUCUUGUUCUUGUUCUUCUCCUGCAAAAUCCUCCAACAUUGUGCCAUACCAAGGGCUUCAGACCCAGGCGUUAUUCGGGUCUCGGGCUAUCCACCAACAGGACCCAAUUCCAAAAUUCGGAGCAGCAAUUCAUGAGAUGGGUUAACUUUGUUGGUAGCCUCAAGCACUCUGUUUUUAAGACUGCAAAAAACAAGCUUUUUCCUUCUUACACUCUUCACGUCUCUAAGAAUCCGGCCGCAGCAGAUUUUGCUACCAUUCAAGAAGCCAUUGAUUCUCUUCCUUCUAUCAAUCUCGUAAGAGUUAUCAUUAAGGUUCAUGCAGGGGUUUACACUGAGAAAGUGAACACCCCUCCCAUGAAAUCCUUCAUAACCAUAGAAGGAGAAGGAGCUGAUAACACCAUAGUUCAAUGGGGUGACACAGCUCAAACACCAGGUGCUAGAGGACAGCCAUUAGGAACAUAUGGUUCUGCAACAUUUGCAGUGAACUCACCUUAUUUCAUAGCCAAGAACAUAACAUUCAAAAACACAACCCCGGUUCCGCCACCAGGAGCAAUAGGGAAACAAGCAGUGGCAUUGAGAAUAUCAGCAGACACAGCAUCAUUUUACGGAUGCAAAUUCCUAGGAGCACAGGACACAUUGUAUGACCAUGUGGGUAGGCAUUAUUACAAGGAUUGUUACAUUGAAGGCUCAGUUGAUUUCAUAUUCGGGAACGCCCUGUCUCUUUUUGAGGGAUGUCACGUGCAUGCAAUAGCACAGAACAUAGGGGCCUUAACUGCACAAGGAAGGAGCAGCAUGUUGGAGGACACAGGGUUCUCAUUUGUGCACUGUAAGGUCACUGGCUCAGGAGCACUAUACCUAGGAAGGGCUUGGGGUCCUUUUUCUCGUGUGGUUUUUGCUUACACUUACAUGGACAACAUCAUCAUUCCCAAGGGCUGGUAUAACUGGGGAGACCCUAACCGUGAAAUGUUGUCGCCCCCCAUUCAUAGUAGUUUCUUUGCAAAACCAUGCCGGGAAAUCCAAUGAUUUACCAGUGCCAGGUUUGGCUUAGUAGGAAGGAAAGAAUGUUUGGUAAGGAAAACUUCCAAAAUAGUAAAAACGUGUUACUAUUUUUAUGGGUUUUCUCUUCUAAUAUUCUUUCUCUUUAAUUUUCUUCUCAUCCAAACCAGAAGUUAGUGAUCAUUGGAUCAAGAGAACAGGUUUUGGCAGUUGGAUUCUCUCUCCCAUGUAGGCUCCAUACAUAACAUUCUUGAUUCCAACUGAUGGCAUUGUUUGGACAAAGAAAAAAAUAUUAGAAGGAAAAACUUCUAAAAGUAGACAAUAUUUUAUGGACAGUACAAAUGCACGGGACAAGGAGCUAGCUUUGCAGGCAGAGUAUCAUGGUGCAAAGAACUCACCGAUGAGGAAGCUAAGCCUUUUAUCUCACUUAGUUUCAUAGAUGGCAAUGAGUGGACCAG